UAAAAGGAAUGGAAAAUGACUUUAUUUCUUCUUCUUAAAAAAAAAAAAAGUAAAAUAAAAGCCCAUAAUUGAAUUAUAUUCUGAAACAUUUGUUUAGUAUUAUUUCCAUGCUUAAUAAAAUCAUUAUAUUUCUGCAUAAAUAAAUAAACAUUUACAAAGAGGGGGAAGAACGAGAAGAAUCAGAGACGAAGGUGUCAUUCUCUGAAUCAUUGACGACCAAUCAAUCGAUCAACAACUGAUCAAAUGGACAAUUCAUUGAUGGCCUGUAGACAUGCAGCCAAUCGUCUUCCUUCCUUCUCCAUACAUGAAAUCCCCCAUUGGGUAUUAUAUCAUAUUAUAUUUAUAUACCGCAUAAUGUAAUUAUCUCUCAGGUUCAGAAAAAUUUAACAAAAUAACAUAGCAGAUGUGUGUGUGUGUGUGUGUUUGUGGAUGCAGCCCAAAUGACAAUCUCUUCCCUACUGUACGUAGUUCACUAAGUAAUGCACUCUGUAGGGGACAGGCUGUCAUUUAGGAUGUAUAUUAUGUGUGUGUUUGUAUGUACAUAGUAAAUCACCAGGCAGCAGUCAGAAGAGUAGUUAUCCCAAAAAAAAUUACAUUUAGAAAAAAAUUCAUGUGCACAGGAAAAUCUUUGAACGAACACACCGACUGGAAAUGAGGGAAGUUAUGUUGUUUGUUUUGUUUUUAACAAAUAAAACAAAUACAUUUCAGGGAUUUAUCCAAAUGUAUCCAAUCAUAACCCCAAAAGCCUCCCCCAUUCCUUUGUGCGUUUCAGAUUGACUGACACGUAUCGGUCUCGUAUGAAAAGGAUCACACACAGAGGCUGCUCACUUACAGAUAGUAUCAAAAAGACCCAUUUCAAUAGGAGUCAAAGUAACAUGGCAUCUUUGGAAAAGUGGAUCAGGCUACACCCUUCAGACCAAUGCAUUUUGAGAAGACAGGAAUCAAGGAAAGACAAUUGAGAUUGGAUAGGUCUGUUUAGGUUAGGGGUACCGGUUCUUGUAGCAGGUUAGGUUAGGUUAGGGGUACCAGUUCUUGUAGCAGGUUAGGUUAAGAGUGCCUUUUCAACACGGACACUUGAGCGAGUUGACAGGGUAGAUCAGAUCAUGCUUUUAACUAGCCUGGAAUCCAAGCUAAUAUGCUUACAGUCUUGUUUCACCAGUCUAGCUUUUAAGGUGUAGCGAGGACAACAAGACAUCAUGACCAUGUAUUCAUUGAGGAGAGAAGACUCUCCACGCUGUCACUCUCUCUGCCCUUCCACCACUUUGAAACCAGCUCAAAUUUACACAAAACACCUCCAUUUACAGGCAGGACUUAUUUUAUUAAUUGUUUUUCUGCAUGGAAUCCCAAAAAUAAUAAGUAAAGACAAACUGGAGAACACAAGAUGUGAUCAAUUCAGGAGAAAGGAGAGAAAAAAAUGUUUUGGGAGAUUUCACUUUUUUUUUUAUUUUUAUGGCAAACAAAAAGUUGUAUUCCAAAUGGCACCAGUUUCCCUAUAUAGUGCACUACUUUUGACCAGAGCCCUGUUCCCUAUAUAGUGCACUACUUUAGACCAGAGCCCUAUGGCUUAGGGUUGGUCCUAGAACUGCUACCCAGAGCUCCAUGCCCACCAGAUUCAGGGACUGUAUGAAUCCGGGGAGUCCAGAGAAGGGCAUCUGUUUUGGGCCACAAAGAUUGAGGAUAGCCCUUAACUUCCAAACCACCACUCAACAACCCCCCUUACAUAGGUGCUGCUAUAGCAAGGCUAUCCUUUAGACAAAGACACAUUUCAGAAAGACUACAGGCCUCAUCUUUCAUAAGGAUUAUAUAUCACCCUUAGCCAGCCGAUUGGCUAUCGAUGCAUAUAUAUUCCAAUCCAAGACAGUUUUAAAGUUUCCAGGAUUGAUGGACACUGUGGAGUGGGGACAUGCCCACUCACAGCAGAAGCAGUGAAGGCCAAUGACAGAGCCCAGAGAAACAGGAAGUUAGAUGGGGAUUCUAAAGCCGUAUCUAAAGGAGAACGAAGAAGAGACAGCACCUUGGGGGUAAUUCUAGAGCUGGGUCUACCUGACAGUAUACAAGGAGGGGGAUAUUUUAUAACUAUAAUCUACCCGGCACUGGAUGAGACCAGAGGAAGAAUCUAGAGCUGUACGUACUAGACAGGCAUUGGAGAGACCAGAGGAAGAAUCUAGAGCUGUACAUACUAGACAGGCAUUGAGAGACCAGAGGAAGAAUCUAGAGCUGUACAUACUAGACAGGCAUUGGAGAGACCAGAGGAAGAGAGUAACAGAGUUUCAUAAAAGGUGUUAUGUUAAUAUACAUCAUUAUCAUUUAGGUUUAUGACAUCUAAGCAGGUGUCUGGAGAGGUUGGACUUGCGAGCAAAGCUGAGAAAGCAGUACAUACUAGACAGGCAUUGGAGACCAGAGGAAGAAUCUAGAGCUGUACAUACUAGACAGGCAUUGGAGACCAGAGGAAGAAUCUAGAGCUGUAUGUACAUCAGGUAGCAUAGUCAUCAUAGACUUCAGCGCCAAGAUAUUAGCCUGGUCCCAGGUCUGUUUGUGCUUUUGCCUACUCUACUGUCAGCAUUUAGCAUGACAAUUACAUAAGAAGUUGGCAAGAGAGCACAGACCUGCUACCAAGAUCCAGGAAACAGACCUGCUACCAAGAUCCAGGAAACAGACCUGCUACCAAGAUCCAGGAAACAGACCUGCUACCAAGAUCCAGGAAACAGACCUGCUACCAAGAUCCAGGAAACAGACCUGCUACCAAGAUCCAGGAAACAGACCUGCUACCAAGAUCCAGGAAACAGAGCGAAAACAGCCCUGGGUGAGCAACACAUGAGCAGGAAAACACACCAAUGCGUUUUAUACAAGGGAAUUACGACAGUGGAAAUUGUGGCCAUUUGUCCAAAAGAUGUUAACCCCACACCUAUUUCACCUGAGCCCCAAUAGUUACACUGACAUCCUUUCAUAAAGCAAUCUGGGAACUAGAGUGUUAUCAAACCAGUAGUGGCUUGUCCAUUUUACACUCCAUGUGUCCCAAAAAGUAUUUAACAAUAAAGUAACCCUUGGCAAUAAGGUUCAGAAUGUGAACCAGUAACAACCUGGACACAGACUGUUCAGAACACCGUGAAACACCGUGAAACACCGUGAAACACCAUUAUGGGAGUUGUCUUACACUCAACAAGACAUCAUCCCUUGACACCAGAAGUUACUUGGACAUCCUUUCAUAUGACAUCUUGAAAUUUGGGAGGAAAAUUGACAGAGCAUUGCUUUAGAACAAUACAUAACGAGUAAUGACAUUAUGAUUAAAAAAAUAUAUAAAAAUAAAAAUUGACAUUAUUACCACCAGAAUUAUCCCAGAAAAAUCUAACAUUGUUCAGUAUGUGUUUCUGCAUGUGUAUGUGUGUGUAACGUGCUACAUGCAUGUGUGUACAUCUGUAUGUACACGUUAUUGCAUGCCUGUGUGUGUGUGUGUGUGUGUGUGUGUGUGUGUGUGUGUGUGUAAGCAUGAAUCCGUCAAAAUUCGAGGGCACAGCAGGAUGAGGAAACUGUUUUUACAAGAUACAGACGCAGUAGAGAGGAGGGGAUAGAAACAUUUUACAUCAGGAAUGUUCCCAAAUGGCAACCUAUUCUCUAAAUACUGUAGGCCCCUACUUUUAACCAGGGCCCUUAGGGCAGUAGUGCACUUUUAACCAGGGCCCUUAGGGCAGUAGUGCACUUGAUAGGGAACAGGGUGCCAUUUCAGAUGCGCUCAACAGUUCUCUAGCUCUCUCCAUGGACAGACAACAAUACAUAAGAAGCAGCCGAGAGUUGGGAGGAUGGUGAGGGUAGAGGGGUGUCCUUAAUGUUUUCUAUGCAGUCUGAUUGAUGGUAGGAUGAUGGUGAGGGUAGAGGGGUGUCCUUAAUGUUUUCUAUCCAGUCUGAUUGAUGGUAGGAUGAUGGUGAGGGUAGAGGGGUGUCCUUAAUGUUUUCUAUCCAGUCUGAUGGUAGAAUGAUGGUGAGGGUAGAGGGGUGUCCUUAAUGUUUUCUAUCCAGUCUGAUGGUAGGAUGAUGGUGAGGGUAGAGGGGUGUCCUUAAUGUUUUCUAUCCAGUCUGAUUGAUGGUAGGAUGAUGGUGAGGGUAGAGGGGUGUCCUUAAUGUUUUCUAUCCAGUCUGAUUGAUGGUAGGAGGAUGGUGAGGGUAGAGGGGUGUCCUUAAUGUUUUCUAUCCAGUCUGAUGGUAGAAUGAUGGUGAGGGUAGAGGGGUGUCCUUAAUGUUUUCUAUCCAGUCUGAUGGUAGGAUGAUGGUGAGGGUAGAGGGGUGUCCUUAAUGUUUUCUAUCCAGUCUGAUGGUAGGAUGAUGGUGAGGGUAGAGGGGUGUCCUUAAUGUUUUCUAUCCAGUCUGAUGGUAGAAUGAUGGUGAGGGUAGAGGGGUGUCCUUAAUGUUUUCUAUCCGGUCUGAUUGAUGGUAGGAUGAUG
ensembl:lncRNA